GAUGAACGCUGGCGGCGUGCCUAAUACAUGCAAGUCGAGCGAACGGACGAGAAGCUUGCUUCUCUGAUGUUAGCGGCGGACGGGUGAGUAACACGUGGAUAACCUACCUAUAAGACUGGGAUAACUUCUGGAAACCGUAGCUAAUACCGGAUAAUAUUUUUAACCGCAUGGUUCAAAAGUGAAAGACGGUCUUGCUGUCACUUAUAGAUGGAUCCGCGCUGCAUUAGCUAGUUGGUAAGGUAACGGCUUACCAAGGCAACGAUGCAUAGCCGACCUGAGAGGGUGAUCGGCCACACUGGAACUGAGACACGGUCCAGACUCCUACGGGAGGCAGCAGUAGGGAAUCUUCCGCAAUGGGCGAAAGCCUGACGGAGAAACGCCGCGUGAGUGAUGAAGGUCUUCGGAUCGUAAAACUCUGUUAUUAGGGAAGAACAUAUGUGUAAGUAACUGUGCACAUCUUGACGGUACCUAAUCAGAAAGCCACGGCUAACUACGUG
rnacentral:rRNA from 1 species